rnacentral:lncRNA from 1 species
GGAGAGAGCAAGGACGAGCACUCCAAAGCGAAGCUUCCCCUCGUUUCACGGGCCGGAGCUUUUCCCUUCCGGCUGUUCCGGGGGCCCGGGCCCCCCGGACGUCUCCACGGGCCCGGCCCUCGGCCGGCGGGCCGCCGGGCGGCGGUUGGGUGGCGGCGGCCGGCCGCUGACGGCUCAGGCGGGUCGGUGAACGCGUGGGCGGGCCGCCGACCCUCCUGUACUUACCUGCGAGGCUCCCCUAAUUCACGCGCGAGCCGGGAGGCGGGCAGCGGGGGGUGGGAGAAGUGCAGAUUCCUCUUUCCUCCCCCAAAUAACCGUGCUAGCACAGAAGAGGGGCGGGCGCGAGGGAGAGGCUGCCCGGGCUCCCCGCAGACCGGAGGAUCCCGGGGAGCCUGCGGGGGCCGGGGAGGCUUUUGGUUUCGGGGCUCGCCGGGCGUGUCCGGAACCGCCCCACCUUCUGGCGGGGCCCGUCCCCGCCGGCCGUCCCCCCGGGGUCAGACACGAACGGUCAGGAGGAUUUCCCGGCCGGCCGGAGCCCUCCAGAAACCCCCCCCGCCCCGGCCUCACCGGCCCGACCCGGGGUUCGGCCGCCCAAGGCGGGCCCGCCCGGGCUUAAGCACUGAUGGACUGAGGCACGGGUUGAACACGCUCACACCCACACGCACACAGUUGCAUAGAGACUCCCGCGGUAACACACCCAACGCACACGUGCGCGGACGCACGACGUCACGCCUGGGCCUACACCGCAUACACUCACAGGCACACACAGGGUCAUGGAGAUACACUCACACACGCCCAGAGACCCACGCGUACCAGAAAUCCACACAUCAACGCGCACGGUCCCACACGGACGCACCGAGGUGGACGCAGAGCCCCGUACGGGCACAGCCACCCCCCCGGGCGGUCAGUAGCCGGUGGCGGAGCCCCACCGUCGGACGUGGCCCGGUCCCGGGGGCGACCUCCGCCCCGUGGCGGAGAGCUCCGGCCCCCGGCCGCCCCCUCCCCCGUCGGCGCCGGGCGGGCUUCGACUUCCGGCAGCCGACGGGCUUCGGUUCUCGGCGGCGGGCGGAGGCGGGCGGGCCUCUGCGGGCGAGGGUCACGCAACCAUCGACGACAGCGGCGGCGGAGCGCGGGGGGCCGGGGAGGGUGCGGGCGUCACCGCGGGGCGUGCGGGGACGGCUCAGGACACGGUUUCGUCUUCGUGCACGUCGGGCAGCUCGGAGUCCCGGCCCUCCUCCGUGCCGGCUUCCUUCCUGCCGGGGAGAGGAGAGGUGUUAUCGUCGGUGGGAUUUAUCGAGCGCUCGUUGUGUGCAGAGGACUGGAUUCGGUGUAACGAUAAACGAGACACAUUCCCUGCCCACAGGGAGCAAAGAGGACGACGCUCUCACAGCCCUCAGGUUUAAGCUCCUUGAGCGCAGGGGGGUUGAUUUUAAUAACGUUUCUGAGCAUUUCAUACAGUCCUCCGCGCUCGGUAGGCAGCCAGUACAGUGCUCUACACACUGUUCAUGCGCAGUACAGUGCUCUGCA